UACGGAGGGUGCGAGCGUUAUUCGGAAUCACUGGGCGUAAAGCGCGCGUAGGCGGGUUGACAAGUCAGGUGUGAAAUCCCACGGCUCAACCGUGGAAUUGCACUUGAUACUGUUGACCUAGAGUCUGGCAGAGGGUGGCGGAAUUCCAGGUGUAGUGGUGAAAUACGUAGAUAUCUGGAAGAACACCAGUGGCGAAGGCGGCCACCUGGUCAGAAACUGACGCUGAGGUACGAAAGCGUGGGGAGCAAACAGG
rnacentral:rRNA from 1 species